rnacentral:rRNA from 1 species
AAACUAACAAGGAUUCCCCUAGUAACGGCGAGUGAACCGGGAAGAGCUCAAAUUUGAAAUCUGGCGUCCUCAGGGCGUCCGAGUUGUAAUCUAUAGAGGCGUUUUCCGUGCCGGACCGUGUCCAAGUUCCUUGGAACAGGAUAUCAAAGAGGGUGACAAUCCCGUACUUGACACGACGACCGGUGCUCUGUGAUACGUCUUCUACGAGUCGAGUUGUUUGGGAAUGCAGCUCAAAAUGGGUGGUGAGUUCCAUCUAAAGCUAAAUAUUGGCGAGAGACCGAUAGCGAACAAGUACCGUGAGGGAAAGAUGAAAAGCACUUUGGAAAGAGAGUUAAACAGUACGUGAAAUUGUUGAAAGGGAAACGAUUGAAGUCAGUCGUGACCGAGAGGCUCAGCCGGUUCUGCCGGUGUAUUCCCCUCGGUCGGGUCAACAUCAGUUUUGUCCGGUGGAUAAGGGCGGUAGGAAGGUGGCACCCUCGGGUGUGUUAUAGCCUGCCGUCGCAUACAUCGGGUGAGACUGAGGAACGCAGCUCGCCUUUAUGGCCGGGGUUCGCCCACGUCCGAGCUUAGGAUGUUGACAUAAUGGCUUUAAACGACCCGUCUUGAA